ensembl:lncRNA
AAUGUUUGACAUAUUUUGGCAAUAAAUGUUUCCUUAUUCCUGAUUCCUGAUUGAGACUGGUUCAUAGAGCGUCAGGAAAACACAGAGACUACAAAAUUGAUAUUAUACAAAUAAUAUUUAUUAUUUUUAUCAUUAUUAGUAAUAUUAUUGGUAAAAUACGUGAAUUAAAUGCUCACGUGUGCCCUUUAAAUGUUCGUGCUCUCAGAUUCUUGUAAUAUAAAUGUGUUAUUAAAACUGAGGGUUGUUAACAUUUAAUUAAUGACUAUAAAUGAAUUAUCCGAUAAUACUCAUACAUAGAGGUGGCUGAUCCCCCACAUAAAUACGUGAUAAAAUAUUUGAUCUUUGAUUUUUUGUUGUCGUCGUUGUGUGUUUUUCUCCUGCUCCAUUGUCUCGUCGCGCACCGGCGACUCCUUAACUGCCCUUUGUGUGCGUGUCUGUGCGCGUCACCGUGUGCGCGCACGACGACGUCAGGAGUGUUUUUGCUUCGCUCUCUCCGGCAUUCCUACGGUCCAUGAACGCAGCAGCGGCGGCCCAGCGUCCAGUAGAAGGAGGUCUCCGGUUUUAUCUAACCCGGCCGAGCACGCACAAACAUGGCGAUGAUGCAGCGCGCUCUCCCCCGGUCGCUGUGCGUGUGGCUCCUCUGGCUCGCCGGGAUUCACGCGUCUUCUAACCUCCACCUGCACGCCGAGCGGCCGCACGGAGGCUUCUUCACCAUAGAAGCGAUGAGGAGUUUACAGGACGGAGGAGCUGUGUGGAGGUGGUGGUGGCGGAGGCGGAGGCGGAGGCGCCCGCCGCCGCCGAAGCGGCUUCGCUGCCGCCUCCGGCCGCUCCGAGAGCCGCUGCAGGCGGGCCGGACUCCGGCGCUUAUCCGCAACAUCGAAGCCGCCGGAGCCCCGGAGAGUCGGCCAUGCCGAAGGUGUACGGGCAGGUACGUGCAGCGCCGCUUUCUCGCGGAAGGAAAUGUGCAAACUGUGUGCAUCACCUCGGGCAGCCUCGGCUGCGGAAGGACGCGGUCAAGCGAAGAGUACACGGCGCGACCCUCCGGUGUUUGCGGUGUGCGUCGCAUCUUGCAGAACCCGGGACGUCUCCGUGGGGCUUUCGUUGCAACGUGACGACACACCAGACAUGCACCGGAAUAUGUGUCCAUUGUGGAGCGAGUCAACGGCGGCCCGCUGUGGCAGUGACCGGCAGUGACUCAUCUCAGACGGGAUAACGGGGGAUUUAUUCCCGUAGCACGGAGAUUAAAUUAAUGCCGAAGUCACCGGAACUCCCGUGAGAUGUGACAACGGGGUUUGUUUUUGUAUCUCGGACGGCCCGUCUGCCGUUAAACACGGAAACCAACACAAACCCGCUUUUCGGAAGGGUUGUUCUGAAUGGAAGAUGACGAGCACAGAAAUGUGCGGCGAGAAACAAACGCUCCAAGUUUUCCUUUUCCGACAGCGUGUUGAAAGUUGACAUGACACACGUUUAACGUUAACUUUGUUCACAAUCUGUGGCUUCACCUCAAGUUGCUCUCAGCCGAACUUAACUGGAAACGAGGCUUAUGCCGGUUGUGGACAGAAGGUCUCACACACCUGGUCUCAUCUCCAGUUUAAUCAAAUAUAAUAAGUGUUUGUAAACAGGCUGCGUGACGCACGCUGUUUGCUUCUGUGUGUGUGUUGACCUACACAGGUGGAGGAGGGUGGUGCUGUCUUUCGUUACCAACACUUCAUCCCGUAGUCCGACUGGUGUCGUUGUCUUUGGGACAAUGUGUCCUCAUGUUUCACUCGAGGUGGUGUCGUUGUCUUUGGGACAACGUGUCCUCAUGUUUGACUCGAGGUGGUGUUGUCUUUGGGACAACGUGUCCUCAUGUUUAACUCGAGGUGGUGUUGUCUUUGGGACAAUGUGUCCUCAUGUUUGACUCGAGGUGGUGUUGUUGUCUUUGGGACAACGUGUCCUCAUGUUUCACUCGAGGUGGUGUCUCUGGGACAACGUGUCCUCAUGUUUGACCCGAGGUGGUGUCUCUGGGACAACGUGUCCUCAUGUUUGACAGGCUCUCUGAGGCCUGGUAGCUGCUUGAAGAACCAGCCGACAUAAAAGUCAAAAGUCAGAGCGUGUCUUUUAUUGUUAGACAAUUAGUUUGUUGUUGGACAGGAUUUUAUUUAAAUUAAAACGGGACCAGACUAGUUCCUGUAAUAGUCACAAAAUGCGAUCCAUUGGUUUUGUCUACGUGGAAACAAAACUAAUGGUUUACACACAAGUCAAAUGCAGUCACCAUCUUUAAUAUAUAAAAUGAUCUGUUUGCUGCUGGAGGACCGAGUCAAACAAUCAGGACCGUUUUUUCUAAAUGACCUGUUUAGUUUCUCAGCCGUACUGAAGAGAAUCUGCAGCCGUUUCUUUCUUUCAGCCCGACAGCAAAGUAGAGACGAUGUUUGAGGUUAAAUUAUUCUGCAUGAACACGAGGACCAUUAGUUGACUAUGAACACAACAACCGGUCCCCGGGGGCUCCGAUCCGGAUCGGGUUUCUAGUUCGUCCCGCGCUCGGCUUGUGGAGGGUUUGUCCCUCGGCUGGUCCUCCCUGUGGCGUCCUCAAGGCGUCAUAAGCAAGUUCACACACAUAAUGAAGGACCACUGAGUCGGUCUGUGGCCAUCUGACACGGGGCGAGCUGCGAUGAUGAUGAUGAUGAAGGGCGAAACCGGCCUUCCCUCAUUGUUCCUCGUGCAAACCACAGGGCGCCGUGGACGUAGUCAUGGUGACGCCACCCGUCGGCUCGAAGCCACGACGGCGCUGAUUUUAAUCUAUAAUUUACUAAAGAGACUGAGACCAUAAACUCGUGUUUACAAAGUUUACUGAGGGAACAAAUCGAUGAUUUUAAACUUUAUUUACACUGAUGUUGACGAUCUGUGAGGGAUCAACAGCAUCUGUUCCUCCUGCAACAUGUUUGUUUGUCAGAUAACAAGUGGGCGAAUGGGGGACAUCGCUGGUUGCCGUGGUUACGGCUCCUCCAGCGGCCGUCCAAAGGGCACCGUGGAGCUGCAGCAACACGUGGAAUCAAACCGGCAACCGACCAGGCGGCCGCGUUAGGACGGGACGGCACAAUAAUCCAGUAAUGGAGACCAAAGCUAUUUGGUCCCGUUUUUAAUACAGAAGUGAGACGCUUCAAACCGUUGUUUUGAUUGGACUAAGUUUGACGCCUCCGUCCUCCCGAACCCCCCGUGUCACGUCUCGCUGCUCCAGCAGAGACGACCUCCAUCUCCCACCAGCACCACCCUCAAACCCCCCCCACGCACACACUCAGGCGGUGCUCGUCUUUACCCUCGACGCUCCAAUUUCUUAAAGCCUUCCUUACAAUUCUUAUCGGAGCUGAUUAUUGUAUAUAUUUAUUGUGGUGCAACAACAUUUGAGACCGUUUGGUCUCCGUAAAAGCUCUUUGAGUCGUACUCUCACCUGACGGGGGGGGGGUAGAAGGG